rnacentral:rRNA from 1 species
CGCACGGGUGAGUAACACGUGAGUGACCUGCCUUUUAGACCGGAACAACUUACCGAAAGGUGAGCUAAUGCCGGAUGAGUUAUAUAAGUGCAUGUUUAUAUAGGAAAAGUUGGGGAGACCUGACGCUGAAAGAUGGACUCGCGUCCCAUUAGCUAGUUGGUAGGGUAAUGGCCUACCAAGGCGACGAUGGGUAGCCGGCCUGAGAGGGUGGCCGGCCACACUGGGACUGAGACACGGCCCAGACUCCUACGGAAGGCAGCAG